CUUCUAUAAAAGCUAGACCUAAACUCGCAGAACCACAUUGCAUGUCAAUUGAAAAUUUAGCCGAUAGGGCCAACACAAAAUCAUCCAUAGCAAUAAGGGAGUAUUUCAGUCAUCCGUUAGUAAAUAAAUGUACAUUUUAAAUAGAGAUCUCAAACCUGCAUCAACAUUACACAAAUAAAACAGUAAACCAAGCUUUAUCUUGCAAUAAGCCAGGGCUUAUUGCAAUAGUCAUUUUCCACCCACUCACCCACCCUCCACAAUAUAAAAGGGAAGGAAGAAAGAAGAAAUUCAGAGUUUAUCAAGUCAACCAUCUGAAGUAUGUUUUCCAUAAAACAAACUAAGCCCUUUGAUUUUGAUUCUUUGAGAAACACUUCUCUCCCACAAACAUUUUCAACCCCACGUCCUCCCAAAAAAACCACUUUUCCAUACUUUAACUACACAUUCAUCAAGAAAUACAUUUUAAAAGAAUUAAUUCUCAAAGAAUAUUUAUCAAACAAGCACAAAGAUACAGAACCAAAAUGUAAAUAAAAAUAAGGCUUGCAAGAACUAAAUCACACUCUUCCUUCAUACUGACAGCAAACAAGGGGGGGGGGGGGACUAAAAAAUGACAGUUUAAAGUAAUAGUAAACUCCCACGACUCAUACACGAAGAGAAUCAGGUAUAAGGUAUUGACAUCGAUAUCUAGCUAUAAGGUAUUGACAUCGAUAUCUAGCGAAAGUCUACUCCCAGCUCAUGGAUGCACAAAAUAACCUUCAAUUAACCAAUAUUCAGGGUGAGCCUUUAGCUACUAUAAAUAAUUAAUAGGGCAGCAUUCCUAAAAAGCAAGACUCGUACGCACGUUUAUCAGGAUAUAUCAAUUAAAUUCUACAAAACCCAGAAACAUUCCAAGGACUACAGCAUUCAAAACCCUAUAUCCGAUAUUAUCUCAAUCAAGGAAGUGAUAUAAACCUGGAGAAAUAGGCUAAAUCAGUCAAACAAAAAUGAAAAAGAACCUAUUUACCCUUUACAGUAUCUUCGAAAUCAAACAGAAACAGAUACAACGCGUAAAACCGAACAAAAUAUUUAGAUCGGAAAAUAUCUUGAUAUAUUUGACGGAAAAUGAAGAAGGAAAAAA
rnacentral:lncRNA from 1 species